AGCUCAAAUUUGAAAUCUGGCUGGUUUACUAGUCCGAGUUGUAAUUUGUAGAAGAUGCUUCGGGUGUGGCUCCGGUCUAAGUUCCUUGGAACAGGACGUCAUAGAGGGUGAGAAUCCCGUAUGUGACUGGCUGCCUUCGCCUAUGUGAAGCUCUUUCGAC
rnacentral:rRNA from 1 species